rnacentral:rRNA from 1 species
UACAGAGGUCCCGAGCGUUGUUCGGAUUCAUUGGGCGUAAAGGGUGCGUAGGCGGCGAGGUAAGUCUGAUGUGAAAUCCCGGGGCUCAACCCCGGAACUGCAUUGGAUACUGCCUUGCUUGAGUACUGGAGAGGGAACUGGAAUUUACGGUGUAGCAGUGAAAUGCGUAGAGAUCGUAAGGAAGGCCAGUGGCGAAGGCGGCUGGCUGGACCUGACCUGACGCUGAGGCGCGAAGGCGUGGGGAGCGAACGGG